GGUAGGAACUACAAUGACCCAAAGUGAUUUUUUUUAAUUUAAUUUGAACAAAUAUAUUCUGUAAUAGCCAAUUUUGACCCAUGUCUAUAAAAUAAAAUAAACCAAAAAUAAGUGAAAAUCCAAAUGUUUAUUAACAGUCCCUUUAUACAUUAAAAUGGCCCAAAUCAAACAAUAGCCCAAAACCCAAAUCUAUCCUACCCAAUUUACAAGGCCCAAACUAAACCCUAGCCCACUAGCUAUCAACAUUUUCAGCAAACACAAAAAAACCCUAGCCACCAAGCCUUCAGCCGCCACAUGCCACCACUGUCUGCUGCCUCCACGCGCGCUGCACUCCUCGUCACAUGCGUCUGACCGCUCACGUCACCUGCAAAACAAAACCAACAAGCAAGCAAAAGAAAGCAACGAACAAGAAGACAAAAACAAUAGCAAACAACAAACAAAAAACAAGAAAAAACAGACAAGAAAUAGAAACAAAACGAGCGUGUAUUUGGCUAUAAAGGCCAUGUUCGAUCACUUUGUAUUUUUUUUGACACGCACAUUUAAGAAAUCAAAGAGCAAAAACAAGAAAAAGGAGGAUCUUUUUACUUUCAAAUUUUCGUUUUAUUUUAUUUUAUUUUUGCUUUUGAACAAAAAAUGGAAAGGAAGAACCUUACUGGAGAACCCACGGUUACGUCGUCGAAGGACUCUUCUCCUUCGUCUAGAUCAGAUCUAAAAGUGAGGGGGAGAGGCCUUUUCUUUCGUUUUUCUUCGGAUUUGGAGAGCCUCGCUUUGGAUCCGUUUGAAGCAGGUUAAAAGCCCCUUUUUACGCAUCACCGGCCACCGGAUACGGUGGUGGUACGGUGGUGCGGCGAAGAAACCCGAUUGUUGGCCAUGGGGAAGAGAGGGGAGAGAUUAAAGGUUCCUUUAGUUUUUUUUUAAUAAAAAGAGGGCAGAAAUGAGGAUUUUAAAAAAAAAGAGGGUUUAAAUACAAUGUCAAAACGACGUAGUUUCAGACUCCCCCCAUACGCUCCAAACGGCGUCGUUUUUGGGGGAGAAACCCGUUCAACCAAACCCAUACCCAGGGGGAUCACGUGUUUCCAAAUCUUGGGCUCCAUUUUUGCAGCACAUAUCGAUUCGGUCCUGUGCCCAUUUUCUUUUAUUUUAAUUUGCCCUGCACUUUGGUUUUUGAUGCAUUUUGGUCCUCUGACCAGUUUCGAAGUAGGAGUACGUGAAACGACGCAGUUUGAGAUUUGGGAUUAUUUUCCAUUUGGCCCUCGUGAUUUUGCGCAAGUUUCA
rnacentral:lncRNA from 1 species